UUUGUGGAUUCCUAACUCCACUCAAAUCAAAUAAAUCUUUCUCAAUAUCAGAAUGCAUCAAUUCAUUAAGUCAUGGCAACAUCAAUAACUUUCAAAAAAUAUCAAGACUCAUUGUAACAACUCAAUUCUCAUGAAUCAACAUGUUUAAUAAUCUAAUUUGUCAUAAAUAAGAUUAAAGCUUGACACAUAUCUUCAAAGCACUUGAAAUACCAACUCAUGGUACAAACAUAAAAUUCACAA
rnacentral:lncRNA from 1 species